UGCCCAAGAUCUUUAGCUAAUAGCAAAAUUGAAUUUGAUAAAAAUAUCUUUUUCUCUUUGUGUAAGGUGCUCCAUUUUGAGAUCGUUCUCCAUAUAUGAUCUUGAGUCUCUAAUAAUCUCUGUCAAGAGCUGAGCAUUGUUUGUGUGUUGACACUCAAAGAUUCUGCUACAUCUUUCCUUCCACAUCCACCAAAUAGCGCAU
rnacentral:lncRNA from 1 species